rnacentral:rRNA from 1 species
GACGUAGGGUGCGAGCGUUGUCCGGAAUUACUGGGCGUAAAGAGCUCGUAGGUGGUUUGUCGCGUUGUUCGUGAAAACUCACAACUCAAUUGUGGGCGUGCGGGCGAUACGGGCAGACUGGAGUACUGCAGGGGAGACUGGAAUUCCUGGUGUAGCGGUGGAAUGCGCAGAUAUCAGGAGGAACACCGGUGGCGAAGGCGGGUCUCUGGGCAGUAACUGACGCUGAGGAGCGAAAGCGUGGGGAGCGAACAGG